AUUGAACGCUCGCGGGAUGCUUUACACAUGCAAGUCGAACGGCAGCGUGGACUUCGGUCUGGCGGCGAGUGGCGAACGGGUGAGUAAUGUAUCGGAACGUGCCCAGUAGCGGGGGAUAACUACGCGAAAGCGUAGCUAAUACCGCAUACGCCCUACGGGGGAAAGCAGGGGAUCGUAAGACCUUGCACUAUUGGAGCGGCCGAUAUCGGAUUAGCUAGUUGGUGAGGUAACGGCUCACCAAGGCGACGAUCCGUAGCUGGUUUGGGAGGACGACCAGCCACACUGGGACUGAGACACGGCCCAGACUCCUACGGGAGGCAGCAGUGGGGAAUUUUGGACAAUGGGGGCAACCCUGAUCCAGCCAUCCCGCGUGUGCGAUGAAGGCCUUCGGGUUGUAAAGCACUUUUGGCAGGAAAGAAACGUCGCGGGCUAAUACCCCGUGGAACUGACGGUACCUGCAGAAUAAGCACCGGCUAACUACGUG
rnacentral:rRNA from 1 species